AAAAAGCGCGUCGUAGUCCGGAUCGGAGUCUGCAACUCGACUCCGUGAAGUCGGAAUCGCUAGUAAUCGCAAAUCAGAAUGUUGCGGUGAAUACGUUCCCGGGCCUUGUACACACCGCCCGUCACACCAUGGGAGUGGGUUGCACCAGAAGUAGAUAGCUUAACCUUCGGGAGGGCGUUUACCACGGUGUGAUUCAUGACUGGGGUGAAGUCGUAACAAGGUAACCCUAGGGGAACCUGGGGUUGGAUCACCUCCUUACCUUAAAGA
rnacentral:rRNA from 1 species